AUUACAAUCCUCAAGCCAAGCUUGGUGUUGGGUGCCGUCCCCCCUGGGGGGGCGUGCCUGAAAAUCAGCGGCGGUGCCGCCCGGCGAUCGAGCGUAGUAACUACUCCCGCUUCGAAUUUGCCCGGGCGCUCCGGCCGGACAACCCCCCAUAACUUCCAAUGAUUGACCUCGGAUCAGGUAGGGAUACCCGCUGAACUUAA
rnacentral:misc_RNA from 1 species